AUGAAGAAUCAUAUAAAGAAGUGAUGAAUUAUUUUCUACAUGUGAGCGGUUGAAGAAGCUGUCAAUCUUUUUUUUAAGGAAGCAAUGCAGGACAAUUUAACUAUAAAAUUUUUACAUGAUGGUUUGGCCGGGAGGAAGGUCUACUGUGACCAUAGUCCACCAACCUACCUUAGGACUUUGCCUCUAAGAUAAGAAUAGAAGUGAGACUAGAUUCUAUUUAGACUCAUUUUCGAACCUUAUAAUGUAACCAUAGUCCACCAACCUACCUUAGGACUUUGCCUCUAAGAAUAGAAGUGAGACUUUAGAAUAAGAUUAGACUCUAUUGGAACCUUAUAAAAGAAAACCCUCAGACUGCAGAGGCAGUCUUCGAUAUAUUGCGAAAGUAGUUACGUCUCUAAAAAUUUUCCAAGUGACAAUUGUAAAAAAAAGAAAAGAGAAUACAAUAAAGAUAAUUUUUUAUUUUGAAAUUGUUAUCACAAAUCUUACACUACAUCCUUCGUACAAUACACAUAUUAUAAAGACGAUUUAUGUGAAACAACGUCAUCGCACAAGUAUUCGCAUACUACGUGAUCGAGAGCGUCGAACCGAGAAGCCAGAAAUUAUUGGAAUGAACAAAACGAGUAAUAUGAACACGUCGAGGAAUAAAUAGAAGAAGAAGACCCACUAUAAAUUGAUAAUUUAACGGACAAUUAAUAUUUUAACGGAUUAAUAAUUUAAUGGACUUCCAUUUAACGGAUUGUAUGGAAUACAUUUUUAAUAAAAUGUUAACAAAUCAA